rnacentral:lncRNA from 1 species
UGUUCUCGAGUUAUUUCACCGUAAAUAUUCAGUACGUCCGCCAUCUUGGAUCGAUUUUCAAAAAAAUUAUCUUUUGGGUCACAUGACCUGUGUGACGUCAAGAGCAGGGUAGAAUCAAAACAACAAAUAUAUUUUAUUAGGCGCAUAUUGCGACUUCGUACUUCUAGUGAGAAAUUUGGCGCUUUUUGAUUACUCGGAUGGAAAAUAUCCAUGAUAUCAAGUAGAUAAGGUAUUAUCUUAUCAAUUUGAACCUAAACUGGGCUUACAAACAAGCGAUAGCGGUGACGAGAGCGACUCCGAAGAACAGGCCGAACAGAGUGAAUCAUCUGACGAGGAAAUCACCAUGUGUUUGAGGUCGAAAAUGCUUGGCGCAUUGCACAUUGAAGCCAAAGGAUACUGAAUUGUUUUGUUGCCACGAUAAAGCAUUAGAAUACGAUGAAUAAGAUAUAUGAUUGAAGGAGGCUGAAACACAAGUGCUUGACUGCUUUUACAAGUGCAGAAUUCAAAGCGAACAUGCUGUCGGAAGGGCUAUUAAAUAGACGUUUGUCGCUAUCUUGAAGAUAUUAAACUGGCCUCUGGAUGACAAAGAUUUGGACAAGAUACACAAAAUUUAUAGACUAGUAGCUUACCAACGAUGUUCGCGUUGGGUAUUUCAGAUUUUGGGGAAUAAGAACAGAAGGCCAUUCCUGCGUCCCGUGCGUGCAUGUGUUUACACAAUAAUAGACAAUUCCCAUUAUAUAGAGUAAUUUAAAACUAGGCAAGGAGAUGCAAAUAAAUCACCACAGCUAUAGAAAGAGCAUACUAAAAUGAGUAAAAUUGCAAAGUUUAGUUGCGAAAUGUUGUAAAAUGCGGAACAUAUAGCCUUGCCAUGCAAAGUUCGCAAAUUUUGUAUACUUUUGUAUUGCGUGCGGAAAUUGCUACAUUUUCGGUCAAAUGUGGUAGUAAUUUCCGCACGCAAUACAAAAGUAUACAAAAUUUGCUACGUUUUCCGCAUUUUACAACAUUUCGCAACCAAGCUUUGCAAUGUUACUCAUUUUAGUAUGCUCUUUCUAGCUGUGGUGAUUUAUUUUCCUUGCCUAGUUUUAAAAUUAGUCUAUAAUGGGAAUUGUGUAUUCGAGAGCGGUUUGGGGCUUUGAGAUUGUUUGAAUGUUCAUUUAUUCAAAUUUGGCUAAAUCUAUGCUCUUUUAAUAAUAACUCUAGUAUGUGCCGAUUACAUGAAGCAUUUUCAAGCCUGGGGAUAAACUCGUUUACUGUUGACAGCGUUGGAAUUUGUUCAAUAAAGUAGUCCUCGGGUGCUCGAAACAGGUUUGAAAUUUAAUUUUUAACCUGAGCUCGUUUUUUAACUCAGCCCUUUGGCUGAAUUUUUUUGUUUAAUAAGAGCUUCAUAAAAAGACAGGGCUGCCAUUUCUGCCUAGUAUUAAAACAAGGCUGAGUCAAAAUCCAAGGUUGAAGAUGCUCUAAUUCCUCCGAUGCAAUCAGCUUUAUUAUAUUAAUGUGCAGCAUGCAACCCCAAUUUCCUACCACAAAUGUUAUUAUAAUUUGCAAUUGUCCUAUUAUCUAAUAAAGUGCAGUGGUGUAUAUAUUAAUGCUUUAUUAAAAUUUAGUUUAUAAACAAAGUUGUUCUCUCAUUAUUUAUAUCACAAAAACAUCAAAACGAUUUUUACACGCGAAUUGCAAAGAAUCAAAACAUAUUCUCAGUCAUUAAUAGUGUUUAUUUAUGCGAUAUUGUUCCUGUUGAUGUGGUCAUAGCCGUGAUCACCGAGAACAGUAAAUAUAAAAGUCUACAAAGUAGGCGAGCAUAUUGUCAUAUUG